UACAGAGGUCUCAAACGUUGUUCGGAUUCAUUGGGCGUAAAGGGUGCGUAGGUGGCGCGCUAAGUCAGGUGUGAAAUUUCGGGGCUUAACUCCGAAACUGCAUUUGAUACUGGCGUGCUUGAGGACUGGAGAGGAGACUGGAAUUCACGGUGUAGCAGUGAAAUGCGUAGAUAUCGUGAGGAAGACCAGUGGCGAAGGCGGGUCUCUGGACAGUUCCUGACACUGAGGCACGAAGGCCAGGGGAGCAAACGGG
rnacentral:rRNA from 1 species